CAGAAAUUCACUGUUUUUAACGGAUUACUUUGCAGGCCACAUAGUACACAUCUACAGCUGGACCUGAGUCCAGGAACAAAACCAACAGCCCACAGCAGGAAGGGCGGCAAGGAGGGGCUCCUGAGGCCACAGCCCCCGCUGCUGCCGGCGGACAUCUUCACCCCCUAGGACUCCUGUGUCCCCUUGGUACCGGCUCUGGGGGUGAUGGUCACAAACAGGCACAUCUGCUCCCAAACCAUGGUGCAGAAGGGCUCCAGUGCUGGGUCUGAAGAGGAACCGGGAUUUCGUGCAGAAGCAGGCAGAACUGGAUGCGCUGCGUUUUAUCUGGCAACACCAUGGGAGAGCCAGGGGGGCUGGGCUGAGUUCUCUAACCCCGUGAGGACCAGCACGCCGGGAGGCUCCGCAGAGAGAAUGAAAGCAAAGCCGAAGACGCAAUCUGAAAUCCUGGCUUCCCCAGGAAAAGCCAGUGCCAGAUCAGAGGAGGGGAAGAGUAGCUACUAACGAGGAGAAAAGAAAAUCAUCACAGUCAAAGCAAGUUCAACAAAAACAGCAUUUUGCUGCUAACUUGCUCCAAGAAAACCUAAAAUCUUCAACUGGCUCAUUCGUCCUCCAGUACCUCUGAUGAAAAGGUAGACAGACUUUUCCACUAAUUAUUUCAGCCACUGUGAAAAUAUGAAAGCUGACCUGGGAGAGAAGAUACAUAAUAAAAACAAACAAAAAACCUCACGGCCAGCGCUGACUUUGUCAAGAAGAGGGACUCUGGACACACAAGGGGCACCUGGGGGUGCAUGCGCACAGAGGGAUGAUCACAGGAAGACACAGCAAGAAGGCAGCCACGUGCACGCCAGGGAGCGAGACCUCAGGAGGACCCAGCCCUGCCACACCUUGAUCUUGGACAAACAGCCUCCAGGACUGUGAGACCAUCAAUGUCUGUCGUCUAGACUGCCAGUUCUGUGGUGCUCUGUGAUGGCAGCCUGAGCUGACUCCUCCAGUCCCCAGGACCCUCCUGAUAGGUUUGUGAAACAGAUGCAUGGAACAAACAGAUUUCUGAAAAGAACCUCCAUCUAUCCAGGUUUCCUGGGAUUUCCCUAAUCACCAUCAAACAAACACUCUGUUACCAGCCCUGCUGGCAUCUCUGGAUGAACUCAAGAAACGGGAUCCUGCCUCUGAGUUUCCGCCCUCCACUGGUGUCACCGUCUCCUGUCCUGAGUUUCUCUCCCCGUUCAGCCAAAUCCUUCCCUUUCAGACUCGCUCUACCCCAGGUCAGAACCAACUGCCUAUGGUACACAAGCUCCCCUUCCUCUCACCUCAGAGGGCCUGGAGUCCACGCCUAAUUCCACAUCUAAUUCCUUCCUAAGCUGUGCCUCCUGACUCCAGCUCUGAGAACUAAUUCCAUUACACAUACACCCUCCAACCCUCCUCUGGACACAUACAUUUGUGAAAUGUAACUGGAUAGAACAAAAACACACAGGUCAUUUUGCUGCUGAAUUUUUAAGAGGGCUUUAUAUGGCAGUGUCUCAGAGAAAGGGGUAAACGCAGCAUUUCCCAAGUGCACUUGCCCCAGACAUUCUUUUCCCCUGGGGCUCAUAAACAAUCUCCCACAACAGGAAGAGAAGCUAUGGUCUGAGUUGCCCAUAGUCCCUUCCUUGCUACACUCAAGAUCUUAGAAGCAAAAGCCAAUCACAUACCUACAAUGCAUGGCCCACUGAGGCCAGCACCCUGCCAAGUAUUAUCGCCUGAAAGAGGGAUAGCAUUAGGAGAUAUACCUAAUGUAAAUGACGAGUUAA
rnacentral:lncRNA from 10 species